rnacentral:lncRNA from 1 species
GAGGAACGGAGAGCUCUUGUAGUUCAGGCACUUUGGCUUUUGUAGAUUCUCAGUUUGCAUUGCUAAUAGCCUCCAUGUCUUAAAGCAGCAGCAGAGACCAAAGUGUUCAAGCCAUCACAAAAGCAAAGACCAACAGUGUGCACGCCUCCCUGAUUUUCAGGUUCCGAUCUCUGUUCCCUAAUUUCAUUAUCUCACAUUACCCCCAGGGUUGGAUUUCUGUCCUCACUUGUUUUACAUACAUAGCUAGGUGAAUUAAGAUAUUACUCAUAUUAGGAGCUUAGAUAAUAACUCCAGGGAAAGAGCUUGCAUUUGAUAGCCUUCAAUUUCAAGAUUACAACUUUGAUCUUACACAAGGGAAAAUCAACACACUUUUAGAUCUUACAUUUUGUUAUUCAAACCCACAAGGCUAAUUGUUCAAAACAUGAAAGAAAGACAAGAUUACAGUGUGUAGAAACUAUAUGACUUGCCAGAAAUGGAAGAUCAUUUUGGCAAUUCGGCUUCACUAGUUGUAGGGACCUUCUCAUAUGAACCCAGCUCUCUCAACUUCUUAGGAAGAAAGCAACGACCCCCGAACUUCUGUUGCAAGAAGAUUAUCACAGCAAACAGUAGGCAUCCAAUAGGAAUGGUGACAUCCCAAGAAGUAGAGUAGAAGUCUGCGACAGGACUUGCAUAAAUGUAUGGGAUACCAUGUUCGUGAUGAACAGAGUUGUCAGUCCUGUAAAGGUCAUAAGCAUGUGGCAGAACUCGAACCGAGGUUGUCCCAAUGUAGAACCAAACAGAUAGAGCUCUUUCCUUUGAUUUGCAGACCAUGUUGAGAAGAAUUUGAGCAAACAGAAAACCAUCCAAGACCAAACCAGCAUAGGAUUUCAAGGUACCCAAAAUGGUAUGUACAUGAUUGCUAGAUUUCAUUAGAAGACCCAAAGUAACUAAAACCCCAAUGGCAUACACUGGUAAAGCCUUCUUUUCCGCAUCCCAAAGUUCAUUUUGCUUCCCAUUUGCUGAUCUUGCUGACCAACUCUGCUGCAGAAGACGGAAUUGCAGCAAGAAAGCUACCAUCGUUACUAACCUUACAAUUAUCUCAUUAACUUCAAGCCAUCCACCACUUCCC